rfam:Camelus ferus unplaced genomic scaffold scaffold1373, whole genome shotgun sequence.
GAGGGUAUAGCUCAAGUGGUAGAGCAUAUGCUUAGCAUACACAAGGUCGUGGGUUCAAUCCCCAGUACCUCCA